ACAUUUCUUUAAGAUUUUAUUUAAGGUAGGUUCUGCCCUAUGAUUAAUUUAAAUGGCUGCAGUAUUUUGACUGUGCAAAGGUAGCAUAAUAAUUAGCUUCUUAAUUAGGGGCUUGUAUGAAUGAAUUAAUGAGAAAUUUAUUUUAUUGUAAUUAUUUUUAUAAAUUAAUUUUUAAGUUAAAAUGCUUAAAUGUAUUAUUGGGACGAUAAGACCCUGUAGAACUUUCAAUUUGUGUUAAUUUGUUUUAAUUUGGGAGUUUAUUAUUUAAAUUAUUAUAAAUUUUUUGCUGGGGUGGCGGAUAAAUAUUAACUUUAUUUUUUUAUAUCAUUAAUUUAUGUUUUUUUGAUCUGGUUAUAUAUCGAUUUUAAGAUUAAGUUACCUCAGGGAUAACAGCGUAAUUUUAAUGGAAAGUUCAUAUUUAUAUUAAAGUUUGCGACCUCGAUGUUGAAUUAAGAUUAAGUUAGGGGGUAGGUUCUUUAAUAUUAGGUCUGUUCGACCUUUAAAUUCUUACAUGAUCUG
rnacentral:rRNA from 1 species